rnacentral:rRNA from 1 species
GACGAACGCUGGCGGCGUGCCUAAUACAUGCAAGUAGAACGCUGAAGAGAGGAGCUUGCUCUUCUUGGAUGAGUUGCGAACGGGUGAGUAACGCGUAGGUAACCUGCCUUGUAGCGGGGGAUAACUAUUGGAAACGAUAGCUAAUACCGCAUAACAAUGGAUGACACAUGUCAUUUAUUUGAAAGGGGCAAUUGCUCCACUACAAGAUGGACCUGCGUUGUAUUAGCUAGUAGGUGAGGUAAUGGCUCACCUAGGCGACGAUACAUAGCCGACCUGAGAGGGUGCUCGUCCACACUGGGACUGAGACACGGCCCAGACUCCUACGGGAGGCAGCAGUAGGGAAUCUUCGGCAAUGGGGGCAACCCUGACCGAGCAACGCCGCGUGAGUGAAGAAGGUUUUCGGAUCGUAAAGUUCUGUUGUAAGUCAAGAACGGGUGUGAGAGUGGAAAGUUCACACUGUGACGGUAGCUUACCAGAAAGGGACGGCUAACUACGUG